CCGGCGGGAAGGGACCUGGGGCUUGCUCCGCUUCGCUUCGCCUCUGCUGCAAGGAAGGACUUUAUCACAAAGCAGGCGCCUAGGGCUAAGGAAAGCCAGGGGGGUCUUGCUUCUUUGAGCCGGACAGCAGGGAGGAGGGCCCUUCUUCUGCAUAUUUGCUUCCUGGGACAAGGCUCCAGAGAGGACCCUUCAAACACUUUGGGUUGGUCCAAAAAGAAUUGGCACCCCAGAAGCCUCUGCCAGACUCCGAGAGAGUGAACCACCUGCCUUUCAACCCUCCCGAGUUGCCUUGGAUACCAAGAAAGGGAGCUUGUCGGAUAUGAAGACAGAAGAAAUGGUGACCCACCCCACGGAGGUAACACAGCCAGUGAUCACUUCUUAUAGAUUACAAAGGAAGCCUGAGAACACACCCUGCUGUCUUUUGGGGGACAUGGGCUUCCUGCUGUGCUCCAGUUAGAGGAAAUGCAGUCUACGAGCCCAGGCUGCCUGGCAGGCUCUCUGAACUGCCCCAAUAUCCUCGGACCUAAUCAAUCUAUUCCAGCAU
rnacentral:lncRNA from 1 species